GUAAAAAAUUUAUAAGAAUAUGAUGUUGGUUCAGAUUAAGCGCUAAAUAAGGACAUGACACAUGCGAAUCAUACGUUUAUUAUUGAUAAGAUAAUAAAUAUGUGGUGUAAACGUGAGUAAUUUUAUUAGGAAUUAAUGAACUAUAGAAUAAGCUAAAUACUUAAUAUAUUAUUAUAUAAAAAUAAUUUAUAUAAUAAAAAGGAUAUAUAUAUAAUAUAUAUUUAUCUAUAGUCAAGCCAAUAAUGGUUUAGGUAGUAGGUUUAUUAAGAGUUAAACCUAGCCAACGAUCCAUAAUCGAUAAUGAAAGUUAGAACGAUCACGUUGACUCUGAAAUAUAGUCAAUAUCUAUAAGAUACAGCAGUGAGGAAUAUUGGACAAUGAUCGAAAGAUUGAUCCAGUUACUUAUUAGGAUGAUAUAUAAAAAUAUUUUUAUUUUAUUUAUAAAUAUUAAAUAUUUAUAAUAAUAAUAAUAAUAAUAUAUAUAUAUAAAUUGAUUAAAAAUAAAAUCCAUAAAUAAUUAAAAUAAUGAUAUUAAUUACCAUAUAUAUUUUUAUAUGGAUAUAUAUAUUAAUAAUAAUAUUAAUUUUAUUAUUAUUAAUAAUAUAUUUUAAUAGUCCUGACUAAUAUUUGUGCCAGCAGUCGCGGUAACACAAAGAGGGCGAGCGUUAAUCAUAAUGGUUUAAAGGAUCCGUAGAAUGAAUUAUAUAUUAUAAUUUAGAGUUAAUAAAAUUAAUUAAAGAAUUAUAAUAGUAAAGAUGAAAUAAUAAUAAUAAUUAUAAGACUAAUAUAUGUGAAAAUAUUAAUUAAAUAUUAACUGACAUUGAGGGAUUAAAACUAGAGUAGCGAAACGGAUUCGAUACCCGUGUAGUUCUAGUAGUAAACUAUGAAUACAAUUAUUUAUAAUAUAUAUUAUAUAUAAAUAAUAAAUGAAAAUGAAAGUAUUCCACCUGAAGAGUACGUUAGCAAUAAUGAAACUCAAAACAAUAGACGGUUACAGACUUAAGCAGUGGAGCAUGUUAUUUAAUUCGAUAAUCCACGACUAACCUUACCAUAUUUUGAAUAUUAUAAUAAUUAUUAUAAUUAUUAUAUUACAGGCGUUACAUUGUUGUCUUUAGUUCGUGCUGCAAAGUUUUAGAUUAAGUUCAUAAACGAACAAAACUCCAUAUAUAUAAUUUUAAUUAUAUAUAAUUUUAUAUUAUUUAUUAAUAUAAAGAAAGGAAUUAAGACAAAUCAUAAUGAUCCUUAUAAUAUGGGUAAUAGACGUGCUAUAAUAAAAUGAUAAUAAAAUUAUAUAAAAUAUAUUUAAUUAUAUUUAAUUAAUAAUAUAAAACAUUUUAAUUUUUAAUAUAUUUUUUUAUUAUAUAUUAAUAUGAAUUAUAAUCUGAAAUUCGAUUAUAUGAAAAAAGAAUUGCUAGUAAUACGUAAAUUAGUAUGUUACGGUGAAUAUUCUAACUGUUUCGCACUAAUCACUCAUCACGCGUUGAAACAUAUUAUUAUCUUAUUAUUUAUAUAAUAUUUUUUAAUAAAUAUUAAUAAUUAUUAAUUUAUAUUUAUUUAUAUCAGAAAUAAUAUGAAUUAAUGCGAAGUUGAAAUACAGUUACCGUAGGGGAACCUGCGGUGGGCUUAUAAAUAUCUUAAAUAUUCUUACA
rnacentral:ncRNA from 2 species